GGUGUAAUAACACGUGGGCAACCUGCCUGUAAGACUGGGAUAACUUCGGGAAACCGAAGCUAAUACCGGAUAGGAUCUUCUCCUUCAUGGGAGAUGAUUGAAAGAUGGUUUCGGCUAUCACUUACAGAUGGGCCCGCGGUGCAUUAGCUAGUUGGUGAGGUAACAGCUCACCAAGGCAACGAUGCAUAGCCGACCUGAGAGGGUGAUCGGCCACACUGGGACUGAGACACGGCCCAGACUCCUACGGGAGGCAGCAGUAGGGAAUCUUCCCGCAAUGGGACGAAAGUCUGACGGACCACCCCCCCGUGAUUGAUGAAGGCUUUCGGGUCGAAAACUCUGUUGUAGGGAAAAAAAUUACAAAAUUACUGGCUCGUCCCUUGGCGGGCCCAAACAGAAGCCCCGGUACUUCGGCCCCCACCCGGGUAAUAC
rnacentral:rRNA from 1 species